UUUAUAUGAGAGUUUGAUCCUGGCUCAGGAUGAACGCCGGCGGUGUGCCUAAUACAUGCAAGUCGAACGCGUUGGCCCAAUUGAUUGAUGGUGCUUGCACCUGAUUGAUUUUGGUCGCCAACGAGUGGCGGACGGGUGAGUAACACGUAGGUAACCUGCCCAGAAGCGGGGGACAACAUUUGGAAACAGAUGCUAAUACCGCAUAACARCGUUGUUCGCAUGAACAACGCUUAAAAGAUGGCUUCUCGCUAUCACUUCUGGAUGGACCUGCGGUGCAUUAGCUUGUUGGUGGGGUAACGGCCUACCAAGGCGAUGAUGCAUAGCCGAGUUGAGAGACUGAUCGGCCACAAUGGGACUGAGACACGGCCCAUACUCCUACGGGAGGCAGCAGU
rnacentral:rRNA from 2 species